GGAGGGGUGGGUGAGCGGUUGAAACCGGCGGUCUUGAAAACCGCUGAGCCUUUACGGGCUCCGAGGGUUCGAAUCCCUCCCCCUCUGCCA
rnacentral:tRNA from 1 species